rnacentral:rRNA from 1 species
UUUUAUAAGAUAUAAUUAAUAAUAUGAUCUGCUCAAUGAAAUCUUAAAUAGCCGCAUAAUCUGUGCUAAGGUAGCAUAAUCAUUUGUCUUUUAAAUGAAGACCAGCACAAAUGAUUGAACAUUUCAAUUAAUAUUUUCAAUUCAAUUAUUAAAAUUAUCCUAAAAGUAAAAAGACUUUUAUACUAUAGAUAGACAACAAGACCCUAUUGAACUUAACUACAGUUAAACUGGGGAAGUUAAUUAAUUAUUACUUUAAUUUACUUUUAAAUAUAAAUAAACCAAUAUUAUUGAUAUUAAUAGUUACCAUAGGGAUAACAGCGUAAUAAAUCUUUUAAGUCCUUAUAUAAAUAUAAGAUUGCGACCUCGAUGUUGAAUAACAACCUAAUUUACGCAAAAGUAAAUAAAGGAAGUCUGUUCGACUUUUUAAAAGUUACA